GUGCCAGCAGCCGCGGUAAUACAGAGGGUGCGAGCGUUAAUCGGAAUUACUGGGCGUAAAGCGCGCGUAGGCGGCUUUUCAAGUCGAUUGUGAAAUCCCCGGGCUUAACCUGGGAACUGCAGUCGAGACUGUCUAGCUAGAGUAUGGGAGAGGGAAGUGGAAUUUCAGGUGUAGCGGUGAAAUGCGUAGAUAUCUGAAGGAACAUCAGUGGCGAAAGCGACUUCCUGGACCAAUACUGACGCUCAUGUGCGAAAGCGUGGGGAGCAAACAGGAUUAGAUACCCUGGUAGUCC
rnacentral:rRNA from 1 species